rnacentral:rRNA from 1 species
AACGAACGCUGGCGGCAUGCCUUACACAUGCAAGUCGAACGGUAACGGGCCUUCGGGUGCCGACGAGUGGCGAACGGGUGAGUAAUGCAUCGGAACGUACCUUUCAGUGGGGGAUAACGUAGCGAAAGUUACGCUAAUACCGCAUAUUCUGUGAGCAGGAAAGCAGGGGAUCGCAAGACCUUGCGCCGAUUGAGCGGCCGAUGUCAGAUUAGCUAGUUGGUGAGGUAAAGGCUCACCAAGGCGACGAUCUGUAGCGGGUCUGAGAGGAUGAUCCGCCACACUGGAACUGAGACACGGUCCAGACUCCUACGGGAGGCAGCAGUGGGGAAUUUUGGACAAUGGGGGCAACCCUGAUCCAGCCAUGCCGCGUGAGUGAAGAAGGCCUUCGGGUUGUAAGCGCUUUGUCAGGGAAGAAACGGUACGUGAUCUAAUAAAUUAGGGCUAAUGACGGUACCUGAAGAAUAAGCA